AAACGUGCUUGGGAUGAAAUAAUA
rnacentral:siRNA from 1 species